AACGAACGCUGGCGGCAGGCUUAACACAUGCAAGUCGAACGAGAUCUUCGGAUCUAGUGGCAGACGGGUGAGGAACACGUGGGAACAUCCCCUUCAGUUCGGAAUAACGUUGGGAACUAACGCUAAUACCGGAUACGUCCUUCGGGAGAAAGAUUUAUCGCUGAAAGGUUGGCCCGCGUCUGAUUAGCUAGUUGGUGAGGUAAUGGCUCACCAAGGCUACGAUCAGUAGCUGAUCUGAGAGGAUGAUCAGCCACAUUGGGACUGAGACACGGCCCAAACUCCUACGGGAGGCAGCAGUGGGGAAUAUUGGACAAUGGGCGCAAGCCUGAUCCAGCCAUGCCGCGUGAGUGAUGACGGCCUUCGGGUUGUAAAGCUCUUUUGUCCGGGAAGAUAAUGACUGUACCGGAAGAAUAAGCCCCGGCAAACUUCGUGCCAGCCGCCGCCGUAA
rnacentral:rRNA from 1 species